AGGGAAUAAAAAGGAAAAGCAGACAGACUAACAGACAAGGAGGGAGGGAGACACAGUCAGAGGAAGAGAUAGACACACUAUUGCAGCUAUGCCCGAAGCCAAGAAGCCAGAGGCAGAGCCGGAAGGAAUUGCAGCCAAGACAGAUAAGGCUGCAGCAGCACCUGCUGAUAAGGGUGGGUGAGAACAGGGCAUGUGUGUGUGUGUGUGUUAACCUGUGUCCCUUUGUGUGUGUUUGUGUUAGUCAGUAGGGCAUAACCGACAUUACAUUGGAAUGAUGAGGGGAUGGUUAACAGUUUUCCCUCACUCAGCGAAGCCAGUGGAGGAUCAUGGUAAGGCCUCUAAGACCAAGUAGCUUUCUGUGGGGAUGAGACAGAGUGGCCAUGCAUGAUUCUCACCACCCACCAUGACAGUGUUGAUCAGACAGAACGCCAAUACACUUAACUUAGGCUUCACACGUUUAUAUUGACGCCUAUCACAAAAUCCUACUGGUUUAUGCCUGACAAAGCAGACAAUAUUCAUUUAAAUGAUAUAUUGGUCAUGAUUCUUCUGAUUCUUACUGGGGGGUUUUAUUACCUGAGAUAACAGGUCACCAAUCAGUUGGUAAGAACUACCUAUGUUAAUAUUGAGGUGAUGUUUGUUAUGUGGGAUAUUUUGGCAAGCACUGGAGUGUGUUUUUCUGGGUGCAUGUGUAUAUCUGGGCGUGCGUGUGUGUAUGGGGUGUGUGUGGUGUGGUCUGUGUGAGUGUGUCUAUUAUUUUUUAUUUUGGGUGUGUACGCUGUAAAAAAAUCAAAUCUGUUGGAUCAACGUACAUUUGUAAAACAACCAGCUGCAAUAGGAUUGUGAGUUUGCUCAACAAACUCACAACAAAAAACAAUUGUACGUUGAAUCAACAUCUUUUUGUUACAGUGUAUACAUACAUGCAUACGUGGAGGAUUGUUCAGGAAACGUUUCGGAUGUGUAUUUCCUUGUACUCAGUGUGUGAGUUUGUGUGAGUGUCUGCUACUGCAGUAUACCACCUUUAUUACACACUUACUCCACACUGAAAUCCUCUCGUUUUAGUGGCAGAGGCCCAGCCUGCUGAAGAGGGUUAGAGCUAUUCUGUUGUGUCAUUUGUGGAUGUAUUGCAUGUGGAUGUGUGCAGGUAUAGGUUUUUGUCCGUUGUUGUAUGUUUGUAUCUGUUUUUGUAUGUCUGUGUGUGUGAGCGUGUGUGUGUGUGACUGUCUGUACAUAAUGCUAUCUCCAAUAUGGACUUAAGUCCAGUACCUCCUACUGAAAUCCAUUUGUGUGUAUUAACAGAGGCCCAGCCUGCUAUAGAGGGGAAACAUUUUUGUGGCUGAAUGAAUUACUUAAAUAAGUGUAUGCAGCACGAGCACAUGGGUUGUUGUGUGUGUACACGGUAAGUUUGCAUAUAUUAUGAGAGUGCUGUAUGUGUACACCGUGCAUCAUGUCAGCUCUAUUCAACAAUGAA